rnacentral:rRNA from 1 species
GACGUAGGGUGCGAGCGUUGUCCGGAUUUAUUGGGCGUAAAGAGCUCGUAGGCGGCUCGUCGCGUCGACCGUGAAAACCCGCAGCUUAACUGCGGGCUUGCGGUUGAUACGGGCGGGCUAGAGUUCGGUAGGGGAGACUGGAAUUCCUGGUGUAGCGGUGAAAUGCGCAGAUAUCAGGAGGAACACCGGUGGCGAAGGCGGGUCUCUGGGCCGAUACUGACGCUGAGGAGCGAAAGCUGGGGGAGCGAACGGG